CCUGCGUUAGCGGUUGAAAUGGCAUCCUUUUUUGCGAUAUUGUAAAACAAGUCUUUGCUAUUUACCAAGGGUUUGCUUUAUAAAACAGUUUUACAUGAAAGCAAAACUGUAUCGCAGAAAAGAUAUAAUGGAAGACGCGACCCUUG
rnacentral:misc_RNA from 1 species